rnacentral:rRNA from 1 species
UACGUAGGGUGCGAGCGUUAAUCGGAAUUACUGGGCGUAAAGGGCUCGUAGGCGGCCAACUAAGUCAGACGUGAAACCCCUCGGCUUAACCGGGGAACUGCAUCUGAUACUGGAUGGCUUGAGUUCGGGAGAGGGAUGCGGAAUUCCAGGUGUAGCGGUGAAAUGCGUAGAUAUCUGGAGGAACACCGGUGGCGAAGGCGGCAUCCUGGACCGACACUGACGCUGAGGAGCGAAAGCCAGGGGAGCAAACGGG